rnacentral:rRNA from 1 species
UACGGGGGGGGGCAAGCGUUGUUCGGAAUUACUGGGCGUAAAGGGCGCGUAGGCGGCCUGCUAAGUCGGAUGUGAAAUCCCUCGGCUCAACCGAGGAACUGCAUCCGAUACUGGCGGGCUUGAAUCCGGGAGAGGGAUGUGGAAUUCCAGGUGUAGCGGUGAAAUGCGUAGAUAUCUGGAGGAACACCGGUGGCGAAGGCGGCAUCCUGGACCGGUAUUGACGCUGAGGCGCGAAAGCUAGGGGAGCAAAGCGGG